UUGAGCAACAUAGGGUGAGAACUACAUUGUGGCAAAAAAAUUCAAGCAAGAAUAAUGAACUACAUUGUGGAAAACAAAUUCAAGCAAGAAGCAAAAAGAUCGAGCCUACCUACGAGACUGAGACGUGUCCCAAAGAGACACUUAAUUCAGGGUCAUUGUGCAUAAUGAUGCAAAUAGGAAAGGCUUGAUCAAGGUGCUCAAUCAGAGCAUGUAAAAGGUUGUUGAAGAAACUUGUGGAAGAAGGAAUUAAGGGACUUAGAGUUAGGGUUAGAGAGUUGACUUUGGUCAGUUGGUUGACCAAAAAGUCAACAGUUAACCAAAGUCAAUUGUAGGUAAAAAGUGUACUAUUUUGUGUAAAGUCUUGGAUUUUUGUGUAAUGACUUGCAAUGUCUUCUUUUGAAAUGUAGUAUGAACCUUUAUAUGAUUGUAACUUGUUUUCCAAGCAA